CGUGAGGGUGAGUGUGGGCACAACUUCCUGACUCGGAGCCAAUCAGCGGGCCCAAGGAGAGGCACAGGCGCAUGGGGCGAGUCGGGGCUCCGCUUCCGGCGUCAGGGUCUGGGGAAGGGGCGCAGGCGCCAUGUCCGGCCGUGAGGGUGGCAAGAAGAAGCCCCUGAAGCAGCCCAAGAAGCAGGCGAAGGAGAUGGACGAGGAGGACAAGGCGUUCAGGCAGAAGCAGAAGGAGGAGCAGAAGAAACUCGAGGAGUUGAAAGCGAAGGCCGCGGGGAAGGGCCCCCUGGCCACAGGUGGAAUUAAGAAAUCUGGAAGAAAGUAAGCUGUUCCUUGUGCCUGAGGCAAUGGUGAUCUUUAAUUCCAUUCCUGUAAACAUCUGGAUUCCCUGCCAUACCAUCUUUUGCCACCUGUAGCUAGAAUGAAUUAUUGUCUUGGGCCUGUUGUACAUUUAGUAAAGUCAAAAAAAAAUUUUUUUAAGUUAUACAGUGGUUUUCUCUUAAGAGUAGUUCUUCUCACUCAGCCAUUUCUACUUUAGCUGUAAGAUCAGAGUAAACGCAGACCAGCAUUCUACUGAAGUGUGCUCUUGUCUUUAUUCUAUCCCAAAUUCCGUACCACCUGAAAUUAAACCAACUCUUUUGAAAUGACCGUUGUUUUUGUGUAGUUGUACCCAAUGGAAUACAUUACAGGAGGUUAGUGGAAAUAAAACCCAUCUUUCUUUGUUAUGA